GUCAUUUUCUGGCCUCUGUUCCUCUGACCUACGCGGAUUUUCUCUCUCUUUUUUUUUUCUUUCGUCAUUUGUUCCGUCGUGACGUCAUGCGUUUCUUGCAUAGAUGAUUUCAUCAUCGUGGCCGCCAUCUUGGGAUACUAGCUCGUCGAGAACCUUCGUAAGCAAGAAACGUGGCAGCAAGACGGCACCAGUCGAAUAUGCACACUGCGUACAGAGGCUAGUUCAGGGUAGCCGCGGAGAGACGGCGCUCGCUGCCGGCCCACUUCCUGUUGCGGAGGAAGUGACGAUUCCUAGGCUGGCGCGCUAGACAAAUGGUUUGACGAGAGACCGCGGGUCCUGCCUCCGGAAUCGCAACAGACGCCACUAAAGUCUCGGAGGCAGGGCUACGUGAUUUAAGUUUGCAGCGGCCACCGCAGCUAGGGCUCGGAGCCGACCCGGGUUAACCCGGCUGGGGAAGAGUAAAGAGCUGAGGAGCAGGAACCAGCUUCUCGGCUCGCGCGGCAGGAGGCCCCGCACCACGACCUACUGUGCCCCGCACACUCUCAAGCUCAAUAAAUGGCCACAGAGGGUGAAAAAAUCAACCGCGCGCCGCUGCUAACAAAACCUGCAUAGUAAAAUCACUUCGGGAUGCUUACGUUAGUUCUAAUAUUUUGCGCUGGAGGCGCUGUAAACAGCACCAGUUUAUUUAGCAAACUUUCUCUUACAAUUAUCGAAGCCUUUUUAUUACAUAAGAAAGGGGCAAAAUGACCAUUGCUAAUUAUAUAUUGUACUUUUUAUUAGUAAGUUUAUUUUUCCUUUGUCAUUAUAGGCGCAAAUAGUGUUCAGCAUCAUCGAUCUUUCACGUGACUUCUGGUCUGGAUUUAAAAUUUUCACCGGUAUUUUCGAGUGCACGGCAGCACAUUCAUUCGUUCGUACACUAUAGACUGGUUGCUUCUGUGUUGCUAAAACUAGUUCAUUUCGCUUCGAUGUCGCGCUAUUUAACUUGGGUUGAAGUGACGUGUUUACGAGCGGACAUGUAAGCCCGAAAGUUGGGUUUCGGUCGUGAGCCAUUUGGAACACGUCUGCAUCGCAACGGUAGUUGGAUGCUGCUGCGGCUGACAACGGCAAUAACGGUGAGUCGUUUAACACCACUGCUUGAAUCGUUAUAUAAUAUCCGUCUCAUUAACUUACAGGCGGGGACAAGUUAACAAACUAGAUCCUGCAUUACAUAUGGGCAGUCAGGAUCUCAGUUGCUGUUUUCUAAAUAAACCUUUACAUGUGAGGCUGUCGUUAUACACACACAACCAGGAAAGAAAGAGCGAUAUCGGAACGCGCGUCUCAUUUUUCAUGUUAUUGUAGCCGUGGUCGUAGGUGACUGAGUAGCCUUAUCAAUAUACAUAUGAAACUCGAGUCCGCCGGCAACUUCUUUCGUCCACAAGACCGAAUAAUCCUUUGGAAAAAUGAAGUGAAAGUGCAGAAUUUAAUGUAUUAAACAGUUGCAAGCAUGAUAAUUCACCCAUAUUUCGUACUUGUUGGUUCCAAAUGUUCUUGCUGUUCAGUUUGGUUUACCGUAGGACAUUUAUUUUUGCAGUAGUGAAGCCGUGCAUCACGUUCGUGCAGAAAAAUAAUGCAUCAGUUCUAAUAGCUUCAUGACUUUCAUCAAUUUUCUUGUGGAACCAGCAUUGUGAUCUCUUCUAGCGCAUAAAUGAACGCACAAAUGUUCUCAUUUGUGAUCUUAAUGAUACUUAAGCUGUUGACAUACAUUGUAGUUAGGCAGACAUCAAUUUUAUGGACAAUAGCAAUAUUUAUUUGACAUGCUGCUUAAGCACCCUAGAACAGACAGUGUACAUUUGCAUGUGUUCUGUAGUCGCAAACCAUUACAGUAUAUACGUCACACCUUUUAGCAUUUCAUAUUGCAAAAUUGUGCUUUUUCAAUUCCUGAUUCAGUCAAAAUUUAUGAUCAGACAUGCAGUAUAAUGAGGACGACACCAGUAUAAAGCAACACGCUCCACGCACUAAACAGAAGCUGCUGCCUGCUACAACAAGGCCAUUGUGUGGACGUUGGCUGCUAUUACAAGAGUCUAUGCCAAGCACAUCUUGGUCAUCACAGGAGCUCCUAUCUACACCAACAUGAAGGGGCUAGAGCUGAAUUUGCAAGGCUUUUACACCACGAACAAAGAAGCGCAUGCAGAAAAAUUUGGUUGAGAUAUCAAGUCUGCAGAGGACUGUGCCAAGACUGAAAAGAGCUUCAGCCACCAUUCCACUAUCACGGACAUUUGGCUGAGUCAUCCAGGUAACUCAAAAAGGACUUUCCAGAAAUUCGUCUUCAGAUGCACCUGCAACUUCUGACCAAGCACGGACGACGCUGGCCAAGAGUUUCGUCAGUUUGCCCUUAAUCAGCUUCCUGGCCAUGUCAAUACCAUUUGUGCCAAGUGUUAUUUUUCUUCUAUAAAUGCAAGCUUUUUCAUUGCCCAUUUUUGUUAGAGAUGAUUCAUGCAUCCUCAUCCAAGCAUAAAGGUCAAACGAUUCUUUGCUGACACUUACUACCAGCCAUUGUCUAGUAGCCUAACAUAUCUGUAGCAGUAUACUCUAGUGCAUGUUAUGCACAAUUCCUCUCCCGAAAUAGCUGAUGCAGCAUCAGCAUGGGUCUUGUAUUAACCUACACACCGUGUGCUAUGUACCAUUUUACUUUUCUUGAUGUUUAAAGCCUUCAAUACUUGCAGAGCAGUGUGGCUUCUCUCUUGAAUGCAAGGUUUCUCAUUUUCCAUAUUCUUAGUCUCAAUGAUUACUCUUCUUCCUCGAUAGCCUGGGUCCUUGUGCAAGCUACAUUGAAGUUAUUGAUUGAAAAAUCUGGUUGUGCUGCCCCACUUGCUGUGAUAGCCGUGUUACGUCUCUCGGAUGUGGGGGCCUGGUCAAUUGCAUGGGUAAGCAUUUGCUCCUGCAGUCCGCACAGCGACAUAGAUUCCCAGUAUACACACACCGUGACUGCUGCUCCCCGUUCGUUCUUUCUUGCUGCAACAAUGGGCAAAUUGUGCUUGUGGCCUACCUCGGCCAUGAUUUCCUCAAAACUGAGACCAGCAUAUGUGCUUACAUGGUUCGAAGUGUAUGACGUUGAUAGCCGUAUGGGUGGAAAGGCCACAAAAAUGGCUGCCGAAGGUGAUGCCCACGAGAGCGACUUGUCCAUUUAGAGACAAAGUAGGACAACAAGUGUGAGCCACACAUUAGCGGCCCUCAAAAGAAAAUAAAUGUGCAGGUUGGAAAGGAGGUAACGCUAAAAUGCCGGGUAGUCCAUAUCGCUGUGUUGGUUGCGGCAGCGGAUGCCUGCGUCACCUGAUUGCUUCGCAAUGGAAGUUGCUCAUCUUCAACGGCAACUGUUGGUUCAUAUAGGUGCGAGGCUCUGUCCAAUCUGUUUGUACCGCUGGUUGUCGCUCGUUACCAGACCACUACAUGCGACGAAGGCAAGUACCAUGCCUGUAGGUAGGUGGCUGAAUGUACCGUAAGACACCCAUGUAUGUGAAUGCUCACUGUUGCCAUGUGGUUCUUAGCCAAUGUAUAAUGUAUUCUAUGAACCCUAUGCAGUGAUUGAUUGCUGUUUAAUUUUGCUGUUAUCUCACUUGGUUACGGUCGCCGUGUUAUGCUUCUUGGAUGUCGCAGCCUGGUCAGUUGCAUUGGAAAGCAGUCUCUCGAAGCAAGCAUUUGCUCCUGCAGUGGGCGCAGUGACACAGGCUCCCAAUUUACACACCGUGAUUCGUGCUCCCUGUUCACCCUCUCCUGCUGCAGCCAUGACAUUCAUAGCUGAUAUUCCGAAGAAAUGGGGACCAUGUGCCGUAAUGGGAUGAGUUACAGGAAUUAAUGAACUGUGCGACAUAAUUAGGUGUUAAAUAAAAAUUGGUAAGCCUUUGUUUUC